rnacentral:tRNA from 1 species
GAGAAAGAACGAAAUCAGUAAGUACUGCUAAUACUUGUUAACCAUGGUUAAACUCCGUGGCUUACUCA